UGACAUUGGAGAGCACAAAAAGCUUCAGCUUAGUUCCAGCAAUUCACCAUCACACUCGAAAAACAAGCAAACUCCUCCGAUUUGAAUUUGUGAAUUUGUGGUUUCCUUCACCUGAGUUCCUCCGAUUUGAAUCUCUCAUCUCAAACUCUGAGCUCCGAACUUCAAUUUAAUCCCCAGAGAGAGAUUGAUCCGAGCUCAAAACUCUCCGACAUCGUCGUAGCAGCAUCCCUCGCGAUCUCCUCCGCUUGAGAUCAAAAUUUUGGUGCGACCUUUUCAUUUCUCCUCUAAUUUCAUAUAUAAUUUCUCUAUUUAUAACCAUUAUUCUAUCAUUUUAUUGAAGCUCUGCUUUGGUGCAUUGUAAUUGAAGCUCUACUUUCGAAUUGAAGUCCAGUCUCACAGUAGCCAUUCUAAGUACUUGUUAGUUUUGAAAUGGACAAGAGUUGGAUUAAUGCGCCAAGGGUUAGUGAUGUUUAUAAGAGUGGAUGUGAGUCAUUCAUACAAUUUGCCAUGGAAGCUCAAGAAACUAUACUUUGCCCCUGCUUGAAGUGUUGUAAUGGCAAAAGGUUUUCAACUGAAAAUGUUCUUCAUCACAUAUUAUUCAAUGGUUUUUGUCCGGGAUAUACUACUUGGAAUUUUCACGGAGAACAUGUAUCGUCGGUGGAUUGCUAUUCCGAUUACUAGAGCUGCACGCUCCUAAGUUGUUUGGUGGAUUGCUAUUCCGAUUGAGGCGUUUGAGCUGCACACGAGAUACUUGUGAAAUUAGCUAGCAUUUGUGUUGUAAGUUUGGACCCGAAGAGUUUGAAGUUUGGAAUCAAAACGACAUAAACUGUAGGGGACUUGUCUAUCUAAAUGUUUUGAUCAUGUUUCGAUCCAAAGUGACAAUAUCCCAGUACAAAAAAGGCCCUCCAACAACAAAUUGUAGUUCUCUACCGCCACCAUCUUCCACAUUCUCACAACCUCUUACUAUUGAUUCACAUCAUUCUCCAGAUUCUAUUUUCAACCACUUGCGUCCACCUUCAUUAAAUAGUAAUUACACACAGCUAAGCCCCCUUCGG